AGAGUUUGAUCCUGGCUCAGGACGAACGCUGGCGGCACGCUUAACACAUGCAAGUCGAACGAGAGAAGAGGAGCUUGCUUUUCUGAUCUAGUGGCGGACGGGUGAGUAACACGUGAGCAAUCUGCCUUUCAGAGGGGGAUACCGAUUGGAAACGAUCGUUAAUACCGCAUAACAUAAUUGAACCGCAUGAUUUGAUUAUCAAAGAUUUAUCGCUGAAAGAUGAGCUCGCGUCUGAUUAGCUAGUUGGUAAGGUAACGGCUUACCAAGGCGACGAUCAGUAGCCGGACUGAGAGGUUGAUCGGCCACAUUGGGACUGAGACACGGCCCAGACUCCUACGGGAGGCAGCAGUGGGGAAUAUUGCACAAUGGAGGAAACUCUGAUGCAGCGAUGCCGCGUGAGGGAAGAAGGUUUUAGGAUUGUAAACCUCUGUCUUCAGGGACGAAAAAAGACGGUACCUGAGGAGGAAGCUCCGGCUAACUACGUGCCAGCAGCCGCGGUAAUACGUAGGGAGCGAGCGUUGUCCGGAAUUACUGGGUGUAAAGGGAGCGUAGGCGGGAUCGCAAGUCAGAUGUGAAAACUAUGGGCUUAACCCAUAAACUGCAUUUGAAACUGUGGUUCUUGAGUGAAGUAGAGGUAAGCGGAAUUCCUAGUGUAGCGGUGAAAUGCGUAGAUAUUAGGAGGAACAUCAGUGGCGAAGGCGGCUUACUGGGCUUUAACUGACGCUGAGGCUCGAAAGCGUGGGGAGCAAACAGGAUUAGAUACCCUGGUAGUCCACGCCGUAAACGAUGAUUACUAGGUGUGGGGGGACUGACCCCUUCCGUGCCGCAGCAAACGCAAUAAGUAAUCCACCUGGGGAGUACGACCGCAAGGUUGAAACUCGAAGGAAUUGACGGGGGCCCGCACAAGCAGUGGAGUAUGUGGAUUAAUUCGAAGCAACGCGAAGAACCUUACCAGGUCUUGACAUCGUAUGCAUAGCUCAGAGAUGAGUGAAAUCUCUUCGGAGACAUAUAGACAGGUGGUGCAUGGUUGUCGUCAGCUCGUGUCGUGAGAUGUUGGGUUAAGUCCCGCAACGAGCGCAACCCUUACUGUUAGUUGCUACGCAAGAGCACUCUAGCAGGACUGCCGUUGACAAAACGGAGGAAGGUGGGGAUGACGUCAAAUCAUCAUGCCCCUUAUGACCUGGGCCUCACACGUACUACAAUGGCUGUCAACAGAGGGAAGCAAAGCCGCGAGGUGGAGCGAACCCCUAAAAGCAGUCUUAGAUCGGAUUGUAGGCUGCAACCCGCCUACAUGAAGUCGGAAUUGCUAGUAAUCGCAGAUCAGCAUGCUGCGGUGAAUACGUUCCCGGGCCUUGUACACACCGCCCGUCACGCCAUGGGAGUCGGUAACACCCGAAGCCUGUAGUCUAACCGCAAGGAGGACGCAGUCGAAGGUGGGAUUGAUGACUGGGGUGAAGUCGUAACAAGGUA
rnacentral:rRNA from 1 species